CCUACGGGAGGCAGCAGUGGGGAAUUUUCCGCAAUGGGCGAAAGCCUGACGGAGCAACGCCGCGUGAGGGAUGAAGGCCUCUGGGCUGUAAACCUCUUUUAUCAAGGAAGAAGAUCUGACGGUACUUGAUGAAUAAGCCACGGCUAAUUCCGUGCCAGCAGCCGCGGUAAUACGGGAGUGGCAAGCGUUAUCCGGAAUUAUUGGGCGUAAAGCGUCCGCAGGCGGUCUUGUAAGUCUGUCGUUAAAGCGUGGAGCUUAACUCCAUUUCGGCGGUGGAAACUACAAGACUAGAGUGUGGUAGGGGCAGAGGGAAUUCCCGGUGUAGCGGUGAAAUGCGUAGAUAUCGGGAAGAACACCAGUGGCGAAGGCGCUCUGCUGGGCCAUAACUGACGCUCAUGGACGAAAGCUAGGGGAGCGAAAGGGAUUAGAUACCCCUGUAGUCCUAGCCGUAAACGAUGAACACUAGGUGUCGGGGGAAUCGACCCCUCGGUGUCGUAGCUAACGCGUUAAGUGUUCCGCCUGGGGAGUCGCACGCAAGUGUGAAACUCAAANAGAGUAGACGCGNGAAGAGUGCGAGACGACGACGAGGGAGAGG
rnacentral:rRNA from 1 species